CAGAUUCUUCCUUCCAUGAUCUCUGUGAAGUAUGCGACUUAACAAACCCAUAAGUCUCGUCACUAAAGACUUUUCUUUCUUCCACUCUCUACUGAAAUCUUGUGUUCAUGGUGACAACUCUUCUUCUCCAAUCACAAUCUUCCGUGACUUACUUCGUUCCUCUCUCACACCAAAUCAUUUCACAAUGUCUAUCCUUCUCCAAGCCUCUACCGCCUCUGUCGAUUCGUUGAAGCUAGUCCAAACCCAUAUCACAAAAUCAGGUAUUGAUCGGUUCAUUUACGUGAAAACAUCUCUUCUCGAUAUAUACUUGAAGAUGGGUUUUGUAAAAACUGCACGAAAGUUGUUUGAUGAAAUGCCUGAGAGAGAUACCGUUGCUUGGAACGCGUUGAUCUGUGGGUAUUCACGGAAUGGCUACGAAUUUGACGCGUGGAAGCUCUUUAUCGUAAUGGUUCAACAAGGGUUUUCUCCGUCUGCAACCACGCUUGUAAAUUUGCUGCCUUUUUGUGGACAAUGUGGAUUCGUUUCUCAUGGGAAGUCCGUUCAUGGUAUUGCUACAAAGUCUGGCCUGGAACUGGAUUCUCAUGUGAAGAACGCGUUGAUUUCGUUUUAUUCAAAGUGUGCAGAGUUGGAUUCAGCAGAAGUCUUAUUCACAGAAAUGGAAGACAGAAGCACUGUUUCUUGGAAUACAAUGAUUGGUGCUUAUAGCCAGAGUGCUCUCCAGGAAGAGGCCUUUGCUGUUUUCAGGGAUAUGUUUGAGAAGCGCGUGGAGAUAAGUCCGGUCACUGUCAUCAAUCUUCUCUCUGGUCGUGUUAGUCACGAGUCAUUGCAUUGUCUUGUUGUUAAAACUGGAAUGGUGAACGAUAACUCUGUGAUUACUUCUUUGAUCUGUGCGUAUUCGAGGUGUGGGUAUUUGGAUUCAGCAGAACGUCUUUAUGCGUCUGGUGCUCAAGAUAGUAUCGUUGGCCUAACUUCGAUCGUUUCAAGUUACGCAGAGAAAGGAGAUAUUGACGUCGUGGUUGCGUAUUUCUCUAAAAUGCGCCAGCUUUGUAUGAGAGUUGAUGCUGUAGCUUUGGUAGAAAUUCUCCAUGGAUGCACAAACUCUUCCCACAUCGACAUUGGAAUGUCGUUUCAUGCUUAUGCGAUCAAAAGCGGAUUGUGCACACAAACGCUGGUUGCGAAUGGACUGAUGACCAUGUACUCUAAGUUUGAUGAUGUGGAGACUGUCUUGUUUUUAUUUGAGCAGCUGCAGGAGACUCCUCUAAUUAGCUGGAACUCAGUGAUAUCGGGAUGUGUACAGUCGGGAAAGGCAAGCGUAGCCUUUGAGGUCUUCCGUCAGAUGAAGUUGAUUAGUGGACCUGAGCCGGAUGCAAUUACAAUAGCAAGUUUGCUUGCUGGCUGCUCUCAGCUAUGUUGCUUAAAUUUGGGGAGGAAACUUCACGGUUAUAUUCUUAGGAACAAUUUUGAAAAUGAGAACUUUGUUUGUACAGCUCUUAUAGACAUGUAUGCUAAAUGUGGAAAUUCAGAACUAGCAGAAGAUGUGUUCAAGACCAUAAAAGCUCCGUGCACAGCAACAUGGAACUCAAUGAUAUCAGGAUUCAGCUUAUCGGGGUUACAAAGUCGCGCACUUUCUUGUUACUUGGAAAUGCGAAAGCAGGGAUCGAAACCUGACAAGAUCACCUUUUUGGGGGUUCUGUCUGCAUGUGCACAUGGAGGCCUUGUCGAUGAAGGAAACAUAUGUUUCAGAGAAAUGGUCAAGGUGUUUGGCAUAUCGCCAAGUUUACAGCAUUAUGCACUUAUGGUUGGUUUGUUGGGUCGAGCAUGUUUGUAUACCGAGGCAUUGACGUUGAUUUGGAAGAUGGAUAUAAAGCCGGAUUCUGCAGUAUGGGGUGCUCUGCUUAGUGCAUGCACUGUGAACAGAGAGAUCGAGCUUGGGGAAUAUGUAGCUAAGAAAAUGUUUAUGUUGGAUUACAGAAAUGGAGGGCUAUAUGUAUUGAUGUCAAACCUAUAUGCAACAGAGGAAAUGUGGGACGACGUCGUCAGAGUUAGGAAGAUGAUGAAAGAUAAUGGCUAUGAUGGUUACUUGGGAGUUAGUCAAACAGAAUAGUUUCAUCAUGAGAAACAACAAACAGAGCGGACAUUCAUUGUGUUGGACAAGGAUUUCAUAGAGGGAGAAUUGGCUCAUGGUGAAUCUCGGGUAGAAGCCAUGACGGGUGAUGUGAACAUUUACAUGAACGAUGUAGAUGAUCCUAAGGUUGUAGAGGUUGAAAUAAUGAUAGCUGAGCCUAGAAGAGUAGCCGUGCUAAAGGAUUAGGAAAGGAAUCGGUCUUGAUGAUGAUGGCUUAUGCUGUCACGAACUUGGAGAUUCACACGUUUUACAGCCAAGAUUGGGGAAUCAAACACAGUUUCUCUCAGCUUAUUCCGCAAACGGGGUUUUGAGGAGUCUUCUUACCAAGUUUCUUAAGUCUUCCAAACCGGGCAGGUUACACUGGAGUACACGGUGACAACUCU